UCUCCUCCCCGCGUUGGCGCCUCCUAGCUCGCCUUUCCAGGCGCUUCCCUGGCGGUAGUGUCUCCGACCCCCGUAAACGUUUCAAGGCCUGCAACCGACUGGCGUAGACGCUUUCUCUUUGGAUUCUCACCCUGUGAGAUGGACACGGCAGGGAGAAUUCAGCUUUACAGGUGGGAGAAGUAAAGGUCACAGAGGUUGAGUGACUCUCCGUAGAAGCACGUGCUGGGAUUUUAGCAAUGGUUCCAGACAGACCCGUGUUUUCUCCUUCCUAACGUUGGCCCAGUCGUUAACCGUUCAAAACUUAUUUCGUCAUCUGCGAAAUGGGGAAAAUGAUAGCCACCUUGUGAAACUGGGGUGAAGAACACAGAAAAGAACAGGAGAAGAAUCUAGUGCGAGGACUGGCCUGUAGUGGGUUGUUCAUGAAUAGUAUGUGUGUAAGCCUCAAACAUUCCCAGAUCUUCUGACUUCCAGUCUGGGACUUUUUGUGCUAAAGCAGUUUCAGAGGUCCAGAGAACUCGGAGGGUUCGGGGAUAUAGUCAAGGGAUUCGGUGAGUUGUCACAUAGGAGAGACCCCACAGCAAAACACACUACUCUGAGGCAAAUACUAAACAUUGUUUUUACUACUACUCUUAAUUAGAUUAUACUUUAUUUUUUGUCAACUUUUGUCAGGCACCGUUCCCAACCUUGUUUGUUUACUCUUCACAAUGACCUGUGAGUUGCCUCCUAUUAAAACGCUCGCUUUAGAGAGGGGACACUGAGGCACAGAGAGAGGUUAAAUAACACAUUCAUGCUUAAAAAGCUCAAAGUCGUCAGAGCUGAGAUUUAUACCCAACCAAUCUAGCUCAUAAAGCCACGCAUACUGAUAUUUGUGUUUUACGCUGUGACAAAAUGGGGUUGUGAUAAGAUCUGUCUUUGAUAAUACAUACUUUUGUCACCAUCUAGAAGAUGCCGCUGACUUUUUUAAAACUCCUAAAGGGCAGGAGGAAGAAAAAACGAAACAGAGAGGCACCUAACUAAGUCCUUGACUGUGGACAGACUAUAUAUGGGCUGAUUAUGAGAAACUCACAUGCAGGCGCUAUGUUUGGAAUUCCAUUUUAGCUGAAUGUUCCAGACUGUCACAUCCCUCAGUGUCUCCAUGGAAGUGCCCACUAUGGGAGAAUGGCCGAAUGACAUGAUUGGAAUGGAAUGCAGCAGUCAUCUUAUCUGACCACACAGAUACCUGCCAGGGGAGGAAUGCCUCACAUCCUUAUGAUAAUUUUGAAGACUUUCUGAGAAGGGCCUGGUGAGACCAACACAGCUCCUGGACAGGGUCCACCACCUCCAUCACUGUGCCUUGUCCCUGUCUUCCUUGCACUAGUGUGUGUGUGUAAUCACAGGUCAUCUACUGACUAUGUGCAUGGAGAGCUCACUUAUCUUUGCAUCUGUGGGACCCAGAACAAAAGCCAUGAAGUAUUUUGAAACGUCAUGAUCUUGCAAUUUUGUGAGUUCCAGCCCCGCAUCCGGCUAUGCACUGACAGUGCAGAACCUGCUUGGUAUUCUCUCUCU